rnacentral:snRNA from 1 species
AUACUGACAUGGACCGGGUCCAUUGAACGAUAAAGAAGGCUCAUGGCCUAGAUCAAUGGUUCACAUUGCAUGUAGUGAGUCCGUUGAUCUACCAUCUCCUUCGGGAGAGUGGACGUCAUAAUUUAUGAUAGAGGGGGUACGCGUCUGCGCAGCCCUGCC